GUUGGGUAGGGGAGCGUUCUGUAAGCCUGUGAAGGUGUGUCGUGAGGCAUGCUGGAGGUAUCAGAAGUGCGAAUGCUGACAUAAGUAACGAUAAAGCGGGUGAAAAGCCCGCUCGCCGGAAGACCAAGGGUUCCUGUCCAACGUUAAUCGGGGCAGGGUGAGUCGACCCCUAAGGCGAGGCCGAAAGGCGUAGUCGAUGGGAAACGGGUUAAUAUUCCCGUACUUGGUGUUACUGCGAAGGGGGGACGGAGAAGGCUAUGUUGGCCGGGCGACGGUUGUCCCGGUUUAAGCGUGUAGGUGUGUGUUCCAGGUAAAUCCGGUUCACUUUAACACUGAGGCGUGACGACGAGGCACUACGGUGCUGAAGCAACAAAUGCCCUGCUUCCAGGAAAAGCCUCUAAGCAUCAGGUAACACGAAAUCGUACCCCAAACCGACACAGGUGGUCAGGUAGAGAAUACCAAGGCGCUUGAGAGAACUCGGGUGAAGGAACUAGGCAAAAUGGUGCCGUAACUUCGGGAGAAGGCACGCUGACACGUAGGUGAAGUGAUUUACUCAUGGAGCUGAAGUCAGUCGAAGAUACCAGCUGGCUGCAACUGUUUAUUAAAAACACAGCACUGUGCAAACACGAAAGUGGACGUAUACGGUGUGACGCCUGCCCGGUGCCGGAAGGUUAAUUGAUGGGGUCAGCG
rnacentral:rRNA from 1 species